rnacentral:rRNA from 1 species
AUGAACGCUAGCGGCAGGCUUAACACAUGCAAAGGUCGAGGGGUAGAGGCUUUCGGGCCUUGAGACCGGCGCACGGGUGCGUAACGCGUAUGCAAUCUGCCUUUCACAGAGGGAUAGCCCAGAGAAAUUUGGAUUAAUACCUCAUAGCAUUAUAAGAUGGCAUCAUUUUAUAAUUAAAGUCACAACGGUGAAAGAUGAGCAUGCGUCCCAUUAGCUAGUUGGUAAGGUAAUGGCUUACCAAGGCGACGAUGGGUAGGGGUCCUGAGAGGGAGAUCCCCCACACUGGUACUGAGACACGGACCAGACUCCUACGGGAGGCAGCAGUGAGGAAUAUUGGUCAAUGGGCGCAAGCCUGAACCAGCCAUGCCGCGUGCAGGAUGACGGUCCUAUGGAUUGUAAACUGCUUUUGCACAGGAAGAAACACUCCGACGUGUCGGAGCUUGACGGUACUGUGAGAAUAAGGAUCGGCUAACUCCGUG